AGACUGUCUUGUACCCCUACUUGGACAAUUUGUCCCAUUUAGUUAUUGAACUUUAACAGACAGACAGAGCAGUGGGAGAGAGAGGUCUAGGUGGUGAAGAGAGAGAGGUCUAGGUGGUGAAGAGAGAGAGGUCUAGGUGGGGUGGUGAAGAGAGAGAGGUCUAGGUGGUGAAGAGAGAGAGGUCUAGGUGGUGAAGAGAGAGAGGUCUAGGUGGUGAGAGGUCUAGGUGGUGAAGAGAGAGAGGUCUAGGUGGUGUGGUGAAGAGAGCAGUGGGAGAGAGAGGUCUAGGUGGUGAAGAGAGAGAGGUCUAGGUGGUGAAGAGAGCAGUGGGAGAGAGAGGUCUAGGUGGUGUGGUGAAGAGAGCAGUGGAGUGGUGGAGUUAUCAUGGUGUUUAGCAACCCUGAGGGGAAGGACAGGGCAGGAAGGAAGGCCGUAGAGUAGCAUCUCUCUUUCGAU
ensembl:lncRNA